AUGAAUAUAAAAUAAUAUGCAUGAAUAUAAUAUACACGAUGUCUGGGCUUAAUGGGCUUACAUUCCAAGAAGGAAAAAACAAUAGUAAAUGAUAAGGAAAAUU